rnacentral:rRNA from 1 species
UACAGAGGGGGCAAGCGUUGUUCGGAAUUACUGGGCGUAAAGGGCGCGUAGGCGGCCUGUUAAGUCGAACGUGAAAUCCCCGGGCUCAACCCGGGAACUGCGUCCGAUACUGGCAGGCUUGAAUCCGGGAGAGGGAUGCGGAAUUCCAGGUGUAGCGGUGAAAUGCGUAGAUAUCGAGAGGAACACCUGCGGCGAAGGCGGGUUGCUGGGCUGACACUGACGCUGAGGCGCGAAAGCCAGGGGAGCGAACGGG